rnacentral:pre_miRNA from 1 species
AAGAAAUGUGGCAUGCCUGUUGUGAAUUACUCUGAUUAUUGAUGUAUUAUUAUUAUUUUAAUUGAUUUUGGGAAACGGGGUGUUACACAUCA